rnacentral:rRNA from 1 species
GAACGCUAGCUACAGGCUUAACACAUGCAAGUCGAGGGGCAGCAUGGUCUUAGCUUGCUAAGGCCGAUGGCGACCGGCGCACGGGUGAGUAACACGUAUCCAACCUGCCGUCUACUCUUGGACAGCCUUCUGAAAGGAAGAUUAAUACAAGAUGGCAUCAUGAGUCCACAUGUUCACAUGAUUAAAGGUAUUCCGGUAGACGAUGGGGAUGCGUUCCAUUAGAUAGUAGGCGGGGUAACGGCCCACCUAGUCUUCGAUGGAUAGGGGUUCUGAGAGGAAGGUCCCCCACAUUGGAACUGAGACACGGUCCAAACUCCUACGGGAGGCAGCAGUGAGGAAUAUUGGUCAAUGGGCGAGAGCCUGAACCAGCCAAGUAGCGUGAAGGAUGACUGCCCUAUGGGUUGUAAACUUCUUUUAUAAAGGAAUAAAGUCGGGUAUGCAUACCCGUUUGCAUGUACUUUAUGAAUAAGGAUCGGCUAACUCCGUGCCAGCAGCCGCGGUAAUACGGAGGAUCCGAGCGUUAUCCGGAUUUAUUGGGUUUAAAGGGAGCGUAGAUGGAUGUUUAAGUCAGUUGUGAAAGUUUGCGGCUCAACCGUAAAAUUGCAGUUGAUACUGGAUAUCUUGAGUGCAGUUGAGGCAGGCGGAAUUCGUGGUGUAGCGGUGAAAUGCUUAGAUAUCACGAAGAACUCCGAUUGCGAAGGCAGCCUGCUAAGCUGCAACUGACAUUGAGGCUCGAAAGUGUGGGUAUCAAACAGGAUUAGAUACCCUGGUAGUCCACACGGUAAACGAUGAAUACUCGCUGUUUGCGAUAUACGGCAAGCGGCCAAGCGAAAGCGUUAAGUAUUCCACCUGGGGAGUACGCCGGCAACGGUGAAACUCAAAGGAAUUGACGGGGGCCCGCACAAGCGGAGGAACAUGUGGUUUAAUUCGAUGAUACGCGAGGAACCUUACCCGGGCUUAAAUUGCAGAUGAAUUACGGUGAAAGCCGUAAGCCGCAAGGCAUCUGUGAAGGUGCUGCAUGGUUGUCGUCAGCUCGUGCCGUGAGGUGUCGGCUUAAGUGCCAUAACGAGCGCAACCCUUGUUGUCAGUUACUAACAGGUCAUGCUGAGGACUCUGACAAGACUGCCAUCGUAAGAUGUGAGGAAGGUGGGGAUGACGUCAAAUCAGCACGGCCCUUACGUCCGGGGCUACACACGUGUUACAAUGGGGGGUACAGAGGGCCGCUACCACGCGAGUGGAUGCCAAUCCCAAAAACCUCUCUCAGUUCGGACUGGAGUCUGCAACCCGACUCCACGAAGCUGGAUUCGCUAGUAAUCGCGCAUCAGCCACGGCGCGGUGAAUACGUUCCCGGGCCUUGUACACACCGCCCGUCAAGCCAUGGGAGCCGGGGGUACCUGAAGUGCGUAACCGCGAGGAGCGCCCUAGGGUAAAACUGG